rnacentral:tRNA from 3 species
CGGAGUGUAGCUUAGCCUGGUAAAGCACUCGGCUGGGGGCCGAGAGAUCGUUGGUUCAAAUCCAAUCACUCCGACCA